rnacentral:rRNA from 1 species
GAUGAACGCUAGCUACAGGCUUAACACAUGCAAGUCGAGGGGAAACGACAUUGAAGCUUGCUUCGAUGGUCGUCGACCGGCGCACGGGUGAGUAACGCGUAUCCAACCUGCCUCUGACCAAGGGAUAACCCGUCGAAAGUCGGCCUAAUACCUUAUGCAGUCGUCGGAAGUCAUCUGAUGACGACGAACGAUUUCAUCGGUGAGAGGUGGGGAUGCGUCUGAUUAGCCUGUUGGCGGGGUAACGGCCCACCAAGGCAACGAUCAGUAGGGGUUCUGAGAGGAAGGUCCCCCACAUUGGAACUGAGACACGGUCCAAACUCCUACGGGAGGCAGCAGUGAGGAAUAUUGGUCAAUGGGCGAGAGCCUGAACCAGCCAAGUAGCGUGCAGGAUGACGGCCCUAUGGGUUGUAAACUGCUUUUAUGCGGGGAUAAAGUGAGGGACGUGUCCUUCAUUGCAGGUACCGCAUGAAUAAGGACCGGCUAAUUCCGUG